UCCAGUGUGGUGUAGUGGUUUGGGUGAUGGACUAGGACUCUGGAGGCCAGGGUUCGAAUUCCAGCUCAGACA